AAUUGGACUUCUAAUUACAUGAGGACUCAAUUCAAAUUUAAAUUUUCUAAUUGACCAAACAAAGGCCUUGACACCUAAGCCUAAACACCUAGGAAUCCAUUCCAUAUGGCGUGUGGAUUGAAACUCAUUAAAGGAGUUCAGCCGCGUGCCAUGAAUUAGACUAGGUGAACCCACUCCAUGCCGCAUGGGAUCAAGUCCAAUGACCUUAGACUCUUUUCCUUUUGACAUGUGACCACUUCUAAUUAGCCAUGGACCCAUUCACGCCUUGGACUCAAUCUAAUUGGCGUUGAAGAGGCUAACCCAUUGUGAAGCAAAUCACUUAUUAUAUGGACUCAAUCUAAUUUCAUCUUGGACUCAACUUUGCUUGGACUCAAAUUCUUUUCACCCCUCACC
rnacentral:lncRNA from 1 species